rnacentral:rRNA from 1 species
GAUGUACGCUGGCGGCGUGCCUAAUACAUGCAAGUCGAGCGAACAGAUGAGAAGCUUGCUUCUCUGAUGUUAGCGGCGGACGGGUGAGUAACACGUGGGUAACCUACCUAUAAGACUGGGAUAACUCCGGGAAACCGGGGCUAAUACCGGAUAAUAUUUUGAACCGCAUGGUUCAAUAGUGAAAGACGGUUUCGGCUGUCACUUAUAGAUGGACCCGCGCCGUAUUAGCUAGUUGGUAAGGUAACGGCUUACCAAGGCGACGAUACGUAGCCGACCUGAGAGGGUGAUCGGCCACACUGGAACUGAGACACGGUCCAGACUCCUACGGGAGGCAGCAGCAGGGAAUCUUCCGCAAUGGGCGAAAGCCUGACGGAGCAACGCCGCGUGAGUGAUGAAGGUCUUCGGAUUGUAAAACUCUGUUGUUAGGGAAGAACAAAUUUGUUAGUAACUGAACAAGUCUUGACGGUACCUAACCAGAAAGCCACGGCUAGCUACGUGCCAGCAGCCGCAGUAA